AGCAGUCGCCGCGGGAAUACGUAGGGUCCGAGCGUUGUCCGGAAUUAUUGGGCGUAAAGAGCUCGUAGGCGGUCUGUCGCGUCUGCCGUGAAAUCCUCAGGCUCAACCUGAGGCGUGCGGUGGGUACGGGCAGGCUAGAGUGCGGUAGGGGAGAAUGGAACUCCUGGUGUAGCGGUGGAAUGCGCAGAUAUCAGGAAGAACACCGAUGGCGAAGGCAGUUCUCUGGGCCGUAACUGACGCUGAGGAGCGAAAGCGUGGGGAGCGAACAGGAUUAGAUACCCCAGUAGUCCCUGUCUCUUAUAC
rnacentral:rRNA from 1 species